UACGGAGGGGGCUAGCGUUGUUCGGAAUUACUGGGCGUAAAGCGCACGUAGGCGGUCUUUUAAGUCAGAGGUGAAAGCCCGGGGCUCAACUCCGGAAUUGCCUUUGAAACUGGGAGACUUGAACACGGGAGAGGUGAGUGGAAUUCCGAGUGUAGAGGUGAAAUUCGUAGAUAUUCGGAGGAACACCAGUGGCGAAGGCGGCUCACUGGACCGUUGUUGACGCUGAGGUGCGAAAGCGUGGGGAGCAAAC
rnacentral:rRNA from 1 species